AACAAAAACAUGUCUUUUUGAAAUAAAUUUAAAGUCUAACCUGCCCNCUGAAAUUUUUUAAAUGGCCGCAGUAUUCUAACUGUGCAAAGGUAGCAUAAUCAUUAGUCUUUUANUUGAAGGCUGGAAUGAAUGGUUGGACGAGAUAUUAACUGUUUCAUUUAAAUUUUUAUAGAAUUUUAUUUUUUAGUCAAAAAGCUAAAAUUUAUUUAAAAGACGAGAAGACCCUAUAAAUCUUUAUAUUUUGUUUAUUUUAAUUAUAAAGAUUAUUUUUGUUAUUAUAAAUUAAAAUAUUUUAUUGGGGUGAUAUUAAAAUUUAAAAAACUUUUAAUUUUUAAAACCAUUAAUUUAUGAAUAAUUGAUCCAUUAAUAAUGAUUAAAAAUUUAAGUUACUUUAGGGAUAACAGCGUAAUUUUUUUGGAGAGUUCAUAUCGAUAAAAAAGAUUGCGACCUCGAUGUUGGAUUAAGAUAUAAUUUUGGGUGUAGCCGUUCAAAUUUUAAGUCUGUUCGACUUUUAAAUUCUUACGUGAUCUGAGUUCCAAACCGGA
rnacentral:rRNA from 1 species